rnacentral:rRNA from 1 species
CGUGUAGGCGGGAGAGCAAGUCAGAAGUGAAAUCUACGGGCUUAACCCAUAAACUGCUUUUGAAACUGUUCUUCUUGAGUAUCGGAGAGGCAGGCGGAAUUCCUAGUGUAGCGGUGAAAUGCGUAGAUAUUAGGAGGAACACCAGUGGCGAAGGCGGCCUGCUGGACGACAACUGACGCUGAGGCGCGAAAGCGUGGGGAGCAAACA